UACGUAGGUGGCAAGCGUUGUCCGGAUUUACUGGGCGUAAAGAGCGCGCAGGCGGUCGGUCAAGUCGAGUGUGAAAGCCCCCGGCUCAACCGGGGAGGGUCAUGCGAUACUGUUCGACUCGAAGGCAGGAGAGGGAAGUGGAAUUCCGGGUGUAGUGGUGAAAUGCGUAGAUAUCGGGAGGAACACCAGUGGCGAAGGCGACUUCCUGGCCUGUUCUUGACGCUGAGGCGCGAAAGCUAGGGGAGCAAACGGG
rnacentral:rRNA from 1 species